rnacentral:rRNA from 1 species
UACGUAUGGAGCAAGCGUUAUCCGGAUUUACUGGGUGUAAAGGGAGCGUAGGCGGCAUACCAAGCCUGAUGUGAAAACCCGGGGCCCAACCCCGGGAGUGCAUUGGGAACUGGCAAGCUAGAGUGUCGGAGAGGCAGGCGGAAUUCCUAGUGUAGCGGUGAAAUGCGUAGAUAUUAGGAGGAACACCAGUGGCGAAGGCGGCCUGCUGGACGAUGACUGACGCUGAGGCUCGAAAGCGUGGGGAGCAAACAGG